ACCAUAAAAUAAAAUUGUACUUUAGAAAUUGGACAUGGUGGAACAACGACGAUGAAGACACUUUGGAACUGAAAUGAAGAACAACAAAAACAAGUUAAGAAAAAAUAUAACAUACAAAGAAGAGAAGAUAAAGGGAGAAAGAAGACAACCGACGGGUGAUGAAGGUGGGACUGGGCAGCGAAGGGCAUUGGAAGGCGGCAGCGGAGGCAGUGAGGAUCACGACAAAGUGAGAGUUGAAAUGAAGAAGAAGAACAAAAUAAGAGAAGAGAAGACAACCGGAGAAGAAAGAGCACACCGACGGUGAACAAUGCUGGAUUAGUGGCAGCGACACAGAGGCACUACAAGGUGGGGGCAACGAAAUGCGAAGAGUAGACACUGCAAAGGGGUCAGCGAAAUGCAAAAGAGUUAAAAAAUUAGGUUUCU
rnacentral:lncRNA from 1 species